rnacentral:rRNA from 1 species
CCAAGUAAUUAAGCGCAAACGGUGGAUGCCUUGGCAGUAAGAGGCGAUGAAGGACGUGGAAAUCUGCGAAAAGCUUCGGGGAGUGGGUAAACACACUAUGAUCCGAAGAUAUCCGAAUGGGGAAACCCGGCGCAUUUAUGCGUCACUGUUAACUGAAUACAUAGGUUAAUGGAGCGAACCCGGAGAACUGAAACAUCUAAGUACCCGGAGGAAAAGAAAUCAACCGAGAUUCUGCGAGUAGCGGCGAGCGAAAGCGGAACAGCCCAGUUAUCGUAAGCACAUAUGUUAUAAAAGAAAUGUUUGGAAAGACAUGCCAUAGAGGGUGAUAGCCCCGUAUUUGAAAUGGCGUAUGUGUGGGAUAACGAAGAGUAGGUCGGGACACGUGAUAUCCUGAUUGAACAUGGGGGGACCAUCCUCCAAGGCUAAAUACUCCUUACUGACCGAUAGUGAACUAGUACCGUGAGGGAAAGGCGAAAAGAACCCCGUAGAGGGGAGUGAAAUAGAACCUGAAACCGUUUGCGUACAAGCAGUGGGAGCCUGAAUUUAUUCGGGUGACUGCGUACCUUUUGUAUAAUGGGUCAGCGAGUUAUUUACUGUAGCGAGGUUAACCGUUUAGGGUAGCCGUAGGGAAACCGAGUCUUAAUAGGGCGAUUAGUUGCAGUGAAUAGACCCGAAACCGGGCGAUCUAUCCAUGCCCAGGGUGAAGGUUCGGUAACACGAACUGGAGGCCCGAACCCGGUGAUGUUGAAAAAUCAUGGGAUGAGGUGUGGAUCGGAGUGAAAGGCUAAUCAAGCCCGGAGAUAGCUGGUUCUCCUCGAAAACUAUUUAGGUAGUGCCUCAUGUAUAACUGUUGGGGGUAAAGCACUGUUUCGGCUAGGGGGCCAUCCCGGCUUACCAAACCGAUGCAAACUCUGAAUACCAACAAGUUCAGCAUGGGAGACACACGGCGGGUGAUAAGGUCCGUCGUGGAGAGGGCAACAGCCCAGACCGCCAGCUAAGGUCCCUAAAUUGUGGUUAAGUGGGAAACGAAGUGGGAAGGCACAGACAGCCAGGAGGUUGGCUUAGAAGCAGCCAUCCUUUAAAGAAAGCGUAAUAGCUCACUGGUCGAGUCGGCCUGCGCGGAAGAUGUAACGGGGCUAAAACCACAUACCGAAGCUGCGGAAUUAAGAUUUAUCUUAAUUGGUAGAGGAGCGUUCUGUACGCCUGUGAAGGUGAUCUGGGAAGAUUGCUGGAGGUAUCAGAAGUGCGAAUGCUGACAUGAGUAACGAUAAUGCAGGUGAGAGACCUGCACGCCGAAAGUCUAAGGUUUCCUGCGCAACGUACAUCGGCGCAGGGUUAGUCGGCUCCUAAGGCGAGGCUGAAGAGCGUAGUCGAUGGAAAACAGGUUAAAAUUCCUGUACUUAAACAUAUUUCGAUGUGAUGACGGAGAAGGCUAUGUCAGCCAGGCGUUGGUUGUCCUGGUUUAAGCUUGUAGGUUGGAGACUUUGGCAAAUCCGGGUCUCUGUUAAGACUGAGAAGCGAUGACGACGUUCCCCUUGUGGGAAUGGAAGUGACAGGUGCCAUGCUUCCAAGAAAAGUCACUAAGGUUAGGUAUGUUUAAACCGUACUCCAAACCGACACAGGUAGACAGGUAGAGAAUACUAAGGCGCUUGAGAAAACUCGGGUGAAGGAACUAGGCAAAAUGACACCGUAACUUCGGGAGAAGGUGUGCCCCUUGAGGUGAAGUUCCUUGCGGACUGAGCUUUGAGGGGCUGCAAAAACUAGGUGGCUGCGACUGUUUAUUAAAAACAUAGCACUCUGCAAACUCGUAAGAGGAAGUAUAGGGUGUGACGCCUGCCCGGUGCCGGAAGGUUAAUUGAAGGUGUUAGCGUAAGCGAAGCUCCGGAUCGAAGCCCCGGUAAACGGCGGCCGUAACUAUAACGGUCCUAAGGUAGCGAAAUUCCUUGUCGGGUAA